rnacentral:rRNA from 1 species
CCCUUAGAUGUUCUGGGCCGCACGCGCGCUACACUGAUGCAUUCAACGAGUCUAAAACCUGCUCUGAUAGGGGUGGGUAAUCUUUUGAAUGUGCAUCGUGAUUGGGAUAGAUGAUUGCAAUUUUUCAUCUUCAACGAGGAAUGCCUAGUAAACGCAAGUCAUCAGCUUGCAUUGAUUACGUCCCUGCCCUUUGCACACACCGCCCGUCGCUCCUACCGAUUGAAUGAUCCGAUGAAUAUCAUGGAUUGAGGAUGUAAGCAGGUUCGCCUGUCUUCAUCUUCGAGAAGUGAAGUAAAUCUUAUCAUUUAGAGGAAGGAGAAGUCGUAACA